GUGCCAGCCGCCGCGGUAAUACGAAGGGUGCAAGCGUUAAUCGGAAUUACUGGGCGUAAAGCGCGCGUAGGUGGUUCAGCAAGAUGGAUGUGAAAUCCCCGGGCUCAACCUGGGAACUGCAUCCAUAACUACCGAGCUAGAGUACUCAGAGGAGGUGGAAUUUCGCGUGUAGCGGUGAAAUGCGUAGAUAUGGGA
rnacentral:rRNA from 1 species